rnacentral:rRNA from 1 species
GAUGAACGCUGGCGGCGUGCCUAAUACAUGCAAGUCGAGCGAACAGACGAGGAGCUUGCUCCUCUGACGUUAGCGGCGGACGGGUGAGUAACACGUGGAUAACCUACCUAUAAGACUGGGAUAACUUCGGGAAACCGGAGCUAAUACCGGAUAAUAUAUUGAACCGCAUGGUUCAAUAGUGAAAGACGGUUUUGCUGUCACUUAUAGAUGGAUCCGCGCCGCAUUAGCUAGUUGGUAAGGUAACGGCUUACCAAGGCAACGAUGCGUAGCCGACCUGAGAGGGUGAUCGGCCACACUGGAACUUAGACACGGUCCAGACUCCUACGGGAGGCAGCAGUAGGGAAUCUUCCGCAAUGGGCGAAAUCCUGACGGAGCAACGCCGCGUGAGUGAUGAAGGUCUUCGGAUCGUAAAACUCUGUUAUUAGGGAAGAACAAAUGUGUAAGUAACUAUGCACGUCUUGACGGUACCUAAUCAGAAAGCCACGGCUAACUACGUG